CCUUCCCGAGGAAGAUCUGGAUGAACAGUUCGCUCUGAUCAGGA
rnacentral:misc_RNA from 1 species